rnacentral:rRNA from 1 species
AUUGAACGCUGGCGGCAGGCCUAACACAUGCAAGUCGAGCGGAUGAAGGGAGCUUGCUCCUGGAUUCAGCGGCGGACGGGUGAGUAAUGCCUAGGAAUCUGCCUGGUAGUGGGGGAUAACGUCCGGAAACGGGCGCUAAUACUGCAUACGUCCUGAGCGAGAAAGUGGGGGAUCUUCGGACCUCACGCUAGCAGAGGAGCCUAGGUCGGAUUAGUUAGUUGGUGGGGUAAAGGCCUACCAAGGCGACGUUCCGUAACUGGUCUGAGAGGAUGAGCAGUCACCCUGGGACUGAGACACGGUCCAGACGCCUACGGGAGGCAGCAGGGGGGAAUAUUGAACAAUGGGCGAAAGACUGAUCCAGCCAUGCCGCGUGUUUGAAGAAGGUCUUCGGAUUGUAAAGCACUUUAAGUUGGGAGGAAGGGCAGUAAGUUAAUAACUUGCUGUGUUGACGUUACCAACAGAAUAAACACCGGCUAACUUCGUG